ACCAGCAGCCAUAUCACCCUGCAACUCACAACUGGCAGCCCACUGAGGCUCUGCAGGUGAGAGGCUGGUUGGUACCUGGAUGGGAGACCUCCUGGGAAAAACUAAGGUUGCUGCUGGAA
rnacentral:rRNA from 1 species